rnacentral:tRNA from 6 species
GGCGAGAUAGCAAAAUGGUUAUGCAGCGGAUUGCAAAUCCGCCUAUCCCAGUUCGAUUCUGGGUCUCGCCUCCA